ensembl:lncRNA
CUUGUUGUAAAUAAAUAGUUUGUUGUAAAUACUUUCGUUUCGGGAUUUUGGUGGAGAGCCUUAGUGGGGUUUUUUUUUGUGUGUUUUUUUUUCUUUAUUUUUACUUUUUUUCGUGUUGCACUCCGGUUGCCUAGGCCGGGGUGUAACAUAUGGGGGCUCGUCCAAUCGCUGGAGGGUCCGAGGGCCGCUUCGGCCUCCGUCUGUCUUCGCUGGAGGGCCCGGGGACCGCUUCAGCCGUCCGCCGUCGCUGGAGGGUCCGAGGGAGGGACCGCUUCAGCCGUCUGUCUUCGCUGGAGGGUCCGAGGGCCGGUCCAGCCUUCAUCCGCCUUCGCUGGAGGGUCCGAGGGACCGUCCCGGCCUUCGUCGUCUGCUGGAGGGUCCGAGGGACUGCUCCAGCCUUCAUCCGCCUUCGCUGGAGGGUCCGGGGAACCGCUCCAGCCUUCGUUUGUCUUUGCUGGAGGGUCCGAGGGACCGCUCCGGCCUUCGUCUGCUGGAGGGUCAGUGGGACCGCUCUAGCCUUCGUCAGCCUUCGUUUGUGUUCGCUGGAGGGUCCGAGGGACCGCUCCAGCCUUCGUCGUCUGCUGGAGGGUCAGUGGGACCGCUCCAGCCUUCAUCAGCCUUCGUCCGUCUUCGUUGGAGGGACCGCUUCAGCCUUCGUCCGCCUUCGCUGGAGGGUCCGAGGCACCGCUCCAGACUUCAUCCGUCUUCGCUGGAGGGUCCGGGGGACCGCUCCAGCCUUCGUCGUCUGCUGGAGGGUCCGUGGGACCGCUCCAGCCUCCACCAGCCUUCAUCCGCUUUUGAUCAAACAUUUCACUUGGGGUUACAUGUUUGAUUUUUGGGUGGGGGGAAAUGUUACGUUUCGGUGUUGUCAGUGUUUUGUUUUUGCGUGACUGUUAUGUGUUUCCUGUUUUACUUUGAAAGUCUGUUGUUAUCUUAGUGUGUUC